GAAGAAAACACUGAGAUAACCAACUAUGAUAAACUGCAGUUGGAAUUUAACGACCCAGUGGAUGGGAAACAAAGGGAAGAAAUGAGACUUGAAAAAACAAACAAACAGGGAGAUCAAGUGAAGGGUGGGCAGACCUCUAUUUGACUGAUGCUUGCUCCCUUUGAAGGCCACUGUCACACCACUUGGGGAAAAAUUGGAAAUCAGACACACGAGUGUGGCUUUGUUUUCCUGGAGCUCCUCAGGGGAAGGUGGAAACAUGAAUAUCUAUUGGCACCUACUUCUACAAAAGACCAGCUGAAACAUCUAACCUGGUGGGACUGAGCAACUACUAGAUUCUUCGACUUCCCAUUCACAGUGACUUCUGGCUGUUUCCACUGACUUGGGCUGAUUGACAGAGACUCUUCUGUUUGUUCUGGAUGAACUGCCAUUGCUGAUUCAUAGAGAGAAUCUACAAGUGACUUGAGGUACUGCUGCUGAUCUGUGUGAACUGAACUGCAAAUAUUUUGACAAGAUUGGAAUUGCCCCAAAUAAAUGUUUCUAAAUAGGUCCACA
rnacentral:lncRNA from 1 species